GAGAGUUCAUAACAGAAACAGUAAACGAAGGAAAAGUGGGCAAAAUACAUGAUCAACAAUGAAAUAUACUGACACAUCCUUCACUUGGUGUUAAAAUUUAGUUCAUGGCGAACAAUUCAUGUUGUCAUGCCCUGAAUCCCCAUUCAUAAACACAUAGGGGAUAAGGGAGUAGGGAUCAAACAUUUACAGGAAAAUGAAGCAAACAGUAACAUGUGAACAUGUCAAACUCUGCAGGAAGUAGGCAUACAUAUAAAGACUAUAAGUAAACACAUUGGGGUGAUUGCUGGGAACUAAGUCAAGACAUACCAGUAAAGAGCAAGUGCUGGAUGCAAAGACAGAGCAAUAGCAGUAUAUUAGCCUUGGCUUUCAGGCGGCUAAUAGUAAACAUGAGCAGAGAACAGCAACAAAGAGGAGCAAGAGGGAAUGCAGACUUUGAAAGUAUUCAGUAGUGUAUAAGUCAGAAAACUACUGUGUUUUCAAUUGUUGAAUUGAAAGUGUCUUUUGUGAAAGAGAGGGUCAGGUAUUUAUAGUUAAAAAUAAGUAGAGAGUAAGGGUGGAAUCAUAGUAAUUAUAGAACUAUGUAUCAAUUACAAUCAACAUAAGCAAUCCCUUUAAUUGAGGGAUUCAAAAUCAAACGGGUAAAGCAAUAAAGGAAAAGGGGUUUGAGCAAAAUAUCAUAAUAAAGGGUAAGUGCAUAAAAAUUAUUUAAGGUAACAGAAUAGUGGCACACACUUUGUAUGAAAAAAAGGAAAGGGAAUCAAUUAGUAGAACCAAAAUCACAUGCUUACUUGAAAGAAUCAGGUCGAAAAAAGGGUAAGGAAAAAUUCACUUAAGGAAAAUCUGGAACAAUCAAGUAAACACCAUCAAAGGGAUUCAGAAUCAAUCAGUAGUUGGAAAAACAUCUUGAGAGAAGAGUUCUCAUAAAUAAAGUACAAAAACAUGUGAAUCGAGAAGAGACUGUCGAGUUAUGUAAAAGAGAGAAGUUAAGAAUCAUAAAAGAUAUACAAGUUCAGUUUGCAGAGUCAUAGUUGGUGUGAGAGUUCAGGGUUCCAAAGUGGAACCCUAACUCGAACAUCAAAUCAAAAUUCUCAAAGAAAAUCCCCAAAUCCUAGGGUUAUGAAUUGAAUCGGGCAUAGAGACGAGAAGGCAGGUCAUUGAAACCGACUCAAAUGUCUGCUUCAAAGCCUUAUGAGAAGUAAAACAAAUGUGAUAGUAAUUUUGAAACAAUAAGAAAAGAAAACUGAUUUAAAGCAUGAAGAACAUGUUUUAAGAACGGCUCGGAACUUAAACAAACUCAGAAGAAAGAAGUGAUACAAACUUAGGCAGAAGCAGAUGAAACAUGUUUGGAAAAACACGAACAGAGUCCAGUAAAGCAAACAAAAUCAAAGAACUCAAUGAUAAAACAGACACAGUAGAAAAGUAAGGAAAAUAUGCUAGGAUUAACAUGUCAGCACACAUAUAGUAGAAAAGAAAAGUAGCUGAAUAGUAGAUGCAUAGUAAAAAGAGUCACACAAGAAUGAUACAAACAAAUACAUAUAAAGAAAAGAAGAAGAGUCAAUUUUACCUUUUAUUUCGAUCUCUAGAGUAAGAUUCGUAUCAUGGAAAUCAUGAGAGGAAUGAGUUUCAUGGCAUGCGCUUAGGGCGAAGACAUCAAGGUCUCUUUUAAUUUCCCCAUACUUUUUCCCAUGAGCAUGGUAUUGGGCUAGGCUACCAACCUCAAGAGGAGGAUUCCUUUUUUAUUUUGAGAAAUGGUUUCAUUCGCACUAAAGUAGCAGCAUACUUUCAAGGCUGAAGGAAGAUCUUUCGACCCCAGGAAGCCAUACAGACCCAAUCUUCCAUGGCUACUUCCUCAAAUAAGGUGAUGAUUUAGCCUUCUCAUUCAAAAAUGGACUUGGUUGCGCUAUGAUGUUUCGAAAACUUUCCAGAAACCCUAAUUUGAAGACAAAUGAUGUUAAAAGAAAAAAAUUGGAGGAAGCACUUUAGAAGCUCAGUAGAACACAAAUAUACCACAGAUCUAAGAAAAUAAACAGAGAAAAAACCUCGAACAGCUUAGGGUUUAGAAGAAACCCUAGAAGCGAGAAAGGCUUUGGAAGAAAGUCUGAUCCUGAGUUGAAGAGGUCAGAAAAGGUUGCUAAUGCCUUGGGUAUGUCGGAACAGGCCGGAGUAGCCAUAGAAUUGAAGAUCUGAGAAGGUUUGAAAGAAAGUCGUCGAGGUCAUGCUUCAAAACCUUGAACACCCAUGGUCUAAUGGUGGAAGGGGGUGAGGAAUCCAUGGUCUCCGAUAGAGAAGGCCGUCGGAGAAGAUGAAGGGACUGAUCAGAGAAGGGGAUAAGACAGAAGUCUCUAGAAGAGACUAGAGAUAAAGAGAGAGUGUGGAGAGAUGAGAG
rnacentral:lncRNA from 1 species